CAGAUUGAACGCUGGCGGCAGGCCUAACACAUGCAAGUCGAGCGGAUGAAGGGAGCUUGCUCCUGGAUUCAGCGGCGGACGGGUGAGUAAUGCCUAGGAAUCUGCCUGGUAGUGGGGGAUAACGUCCGGAAACGGGCGCUAAUACCGCAUACGUCCUGAGGGAGAAAGUGGGGGAUCUUCGGACCUCACGCUAUCAGAUGAGCCUAGGUCGGAUUAGCUAGUUGGUGGGGUAAAGGCCUACCAAGGCGACGAUCCGUAACUGGUCUGAGAGGAUGAUCAGUCACACUGGAACUGAGACACGGUCCAGACUCCUACGGGAGGCAGCAGUGGGGAAUAUUGGACAAUGGGCGAAAGCCUGAUCCAGCCAUGCCGCGUGUGUGAAGAAGGUCUUCGGAUUGUAAAGCACUUUAAGUUGGGAGGAAGGGCAGUAAGUUAAUACCUUGCUGUUUUGACGUUACCAACAGAAUAAGCACCGGCUAACUUCGUGCCAGCAGCCGCGGUAAUACGAAGGGUGCAAGCGUUAAUCGGAAUUACUGGGCGUAAAGCGCGCGUAGGUGGUUCAGCAAGUUGGAUGUGAAAUCCCCGGGCUCAACCUGGGAACUGCAUCCAAAACUACUGAGCUAGAGUACGGUAGAGGGUGGUGGAAUUUCCUGUGUAGCGGUGAAAUGCGUAGAUAUAGGAAGGAACACCAGUGGCGAAGGCGACCACCUGGACUGAUACUGACACGAGGUCGAAAGCGACCC
rnacentral:rRNA from 1 species